CUUUGCUGCUGUGUUUUGUUUACAGCUAUGUGCUCAUGGAGAACGAUGCCUUGUAGGUACUUGGCAAAUAUUUGUCAAAUGAAUUAAUCUGCUCAUGCUCAUUGAUGGUGGGGAUGGUGCUGCAGUCAUUGAAUAGAAUGAGGAUAAUUAAGUUCCCUGGAAAAAAGUGUAUUUGAUCAUCGGGCACCUCCUUGUUAGGAAUCGAGUUCUAACAUGUUAUAAAUGGUCUCGACAUGGGAGGUCAGAAGAGGGAAUGAUUUUUUCCAACUAGGGGAUCGAGAGAAGUUUCUCAGGGGUUGGACCUGGAUAUGAGCUUUGUAGCACAGUUGGAUUGGGACUGGAAGAGAAGAGGGUAGAAAAGUGGACUAAGGGAUCGGCACAAGCCAGGUACUUGGGGAAUGUGGAGGACUUAUGGCAUGAUUCUGAAACUGCCUUUGUGAAAAUUAUAACUGAGGAAAUUAUGACACUGAAAGAGAUCAGACCUAACCAACUCUAUCUUGCCUCUACCCUUUAAGCUGUCCUUGUUCAUUCCUGGGUGUAGGCAGAACUAACCUUAGGAAGGAAUUUAGUUUAUGGUUUGACUGAAACAAAAUUGACACUAGCCCUUUCCAAAACAUACCUCCUUCUUACCUGGGUAACAGUCUGCCUUAAUUAGCUACAAAAUUAGAAAUUACAGUUUAGGAAUCAUGCAGCAAGAGUUUGAACCUCCCCAAAUUGCUCCUGGUGAUAACAUCACUAUUGUAAAACCUAAGAUCAGCGCUUGAGAUAUUUUGCAGACCCUGCACUUGAUGGAUCAGCUGACACCACCCAGACCAGUAAUCUGGCUCAACCAGUUCUGCAAUCCCACCCAGGAACAGAAGACAGCAAGAAAACCUCACUUCAAUUCCCCUGUGAUUCCAUCUCCAACCUGACCAAUCAGCACUCUCCACUUCCCGAGCCCCUACCCACCAAAUUAUCUUUAAAAAUUCCAAUCCCGGGAUACUUGGGGAGACUGAUUUGAGCAAUCAUAAAAC
rnacentral:lncRNA from 10 species